rnacentral:rRNA from 1 species
UGGGGAAUAUUGCACAAUGGAGGGAACUCUGAUGCAGCGACGCCGCGUGAACGAAGAAGGCUUUCGAGUCGUAAAGUUCUUUUAUAUGGGAAGAUAAUGACGGUACCAUAAGAAAAAGCCACGGCUAACUACGUGCCAGCAGCCGCGGUAAUACGUAGGUGGCAAGCGUUGUCCGGAAUUAUUGGGCGUAAAGCGCGCGCAGGUGGUUUAGAAAGUCUGAUGUGAAAGCCCACGGCUCAACCGUGGAGGGUCAUUGGAAACUAAUAAACUUGAGUGCAGGAGAGAAAAGUGGAAUUCCUAGUGUAGCGGUGAAAUGCGUAGAGAUUAGGAGGAACACCGGUGGCGAAAGCGGCUUUUUGGCCUGCAACUGACACUGAGGCGCGAAAGCGUGGGGAGCAAACAGG